rnacentral:misc_RNA from 1 species
GUUUGUUUGUUUCCACAGGACCAGA